rnacentral:rRNA from 1 species
UACAGAGGGGGCAAGCGUUGUUCGGAAUUACUGGGCGUAAAGGGCGCGUAGGCGGCCGCCUAAGUCAGACGUGAAAUCCCUCGGCUCAACCGGGGAACUGCGUCUGAUACUGGGUGGCUUGAAUCCGGGAGAGGGAUGCGGAAUUCCAGGUGUAGCGGUGAAAUGCGUAGAUAUCGGGAGGAACAUCAGUGGCGAAGGCGGCCCUCUGGUCCAGUACUGACACUCAAGUGCGAAAGCGUGGGGAG